rnacentral:rRNA from 1 species
AUACGGGGGGGGCGAGCGUUGUCCGGAAUCAUUGGGCGUAAAGGGUGAGUAGGCGGGAUGGUAAGUCAGAGGUGAAAGUCCAGGGCUCAACUCUGGAUCUGCCUCUGAUACUGCUGUCCUUGAGUGCGGGAGAGGGAAGUGGAAUUCCCGGUGUAGCGGUGAAAUGCGUAGAUAUCGGGAAGAACACCAGCGGCGAAGGCGGCUUCCUGGCCCGCAACUGACGCUGAAUCACGAAAGCGUGGGGAGCAAACAGGAUUAGAAACCCUAGUAGUCC